rnacentral:rRNA from 1 species
UAAGGAAUAUUGGACAAUGGAGGCAACUCUGAUCCAGCCAUCCCGCGUGGAGGAAUAAGGCCCUAUGGGUUGUAAACUCCUUUAGCUAGGGAAUAAAUCAGUGGAUUCAUCCGCUGUUGAAGGUACCUAGAGAAUAAGCACCGGCUAACUCCGUGCCAGCAGCCGCGGUAAUACGGAGGGUGCAAGCGUUAUCCGGAUUUACUGGGUUUAAAGGGUGCGUAGGCGGACCAUUAAGUCAGAUGUGAAAGCCCCGAGCUUAACUUGGGAACUGCGUUUGAUACUGGUGGUCUUGAAUUAGAUAGAAGUGGGCGGAAUAAUUCAUGUAGCGGUGAAAUGCUUAGAUAUGAAUUAGAACACCGAUUGCGAAGGCAGCUCACUAUGCCUAUAUUGACGCUGAGGC